rnacentral:rRNA from 1 species
UACGGAGGGUGCAAGCGUUAAUCGGAAUUAUUGGGCGUAAAGGGCACGUAGGCGGUUUUAUAAGUCAUGUGUUAAAGACCUGGGCUUAACUUGGGUUUGUCAUGUGAAACUAUAAGACUAGAAUCUGUCAGAGGCGAGCGGAAUUUCCUGUGUAGCGGUGAAAUGCGUAGAUAUAGGAAAGAACACCAGUUGCGAAGGCGGCUCGCUGGGACAAGAUUGACGCUGAGGUGCGAAAGCGUGGGUAGCGAACAGG